CCUACGGGAGGCAGCAGUGGGGAAUAUUGGUCAAUGGGCGCGAGCCUGAUCCAGCCAAGUCGCGUGAGGGAAGACGGUCCUAUGGAUUGUAAACCUCUUUUGUCGGGGAGCAAAAGACGCCACGCGUGGCGUUCCGAGAGUACCCGAAGAAAAAGCAUCGGCUAACUCCGUGCCAGCAGCCGCGGUAAUACGGAGGAUGCGAGCGUUAUCCGGAUUGAUUGGGUUAAAAGGGUGCGCAGGCGGAAGAUCAAGUCAGCGGUAAAAUUGAGAGGCUCAACCUCUUCGAGCCGUUGAAACUGGUUUUCUUGAGUGAGUGAGAAGUAUGCGGAAUGCGUGGUGUAGCGGUGAAAUGCAUAGAUAUCACGCAGAACUCCGAUUGCGAAGGCAGCAUACCGGCGCUCAACUGACGCACAUGCACGAAAGUGUGGGUAUCGAACAGGAUUAGAUACCCUAGUAGUC
rnacentral:rRNA from 1 species